AAAAAAAAAAAAACUGUAUAUGCCAACAAAAAAAGGGUGUAUGGAUCGUUAAUCGUUAUGGUGAGAAAGGGUCUUAGGGCUCGACCUCAAGGCAUCGAGUAACUGUGUUGCUAUGCUCUUUCUUCUGUUUGAGGGUGAGACCCAGAUAGCUCUGAUGCCACAGACAGCAGAACAAUGUUUCCAAAUGGGAUCGUGGUUGAAGGCGAGGUCUCUCUCAUUAGGGCAGGAGAAGUUCUCUGUUUGCCAUCUUCGGGGCGAGGAAUGAGUUUAAAUGCUUCUGUGAUCUGUUCUGCAACCAGACAGCCGGCAAUUCUCUGGGAGGAAAUGAAGAGGUAAACCUGCAAAUGACAUAAGCCAUGAUCUUCCAAGUGAAUAAGCGGACGAGAGAAACUCCUCUUGUAUUGAAAAACUGGAGACACUCUUCUAUCAUUGCACUCCUUGGUUCAAGGUUUU